rnacentral:rRNA from 1 species
CACGUAGGGAGCAAGCGUUGUCCGGAUUUAUUGGGCGUAAAGAGCUCGUAGGCGGCUCGUUGCGUCGGCUGUGAAAACCCGCAGCUCAACUGUGGGCUUGCAGCUGAUACGGGCGGGCUGGAGUUCGGUAGGGGAGACUGGAAUUCCUGGUGUAGCGGUGAAAUGCGCAGAUAUCAGGAGGAACACCGGUGGCGAAGGCGGGUCUCUGGGCCGAUACUGACGCUGAGGAGCGAAAGCGUGGGGAGCGAACAGG